CAGCUACUUUCCCAAAGCUAAGUGUUUCCAAACAUGCUUGAAACAGUUGUGUAGAGAACAGCAUGGACCAAAGUGGGAGAUGACUGAGCACUGGAUGUCCCUUUUGAUUUUCAGAGUGCCAUGAGGUGAGACCUCUGUGACAUCACAGGGUAAAACCCUGCCUUAGUAAUUGCAGAGUGCUUAGCCUGAGGAUAACUCAGAGUCCAGCAAGGAGGUCUGGGAUUCACACUGAGCACAUGUGUCUGCCCAGGCUUGGGAUGUUUUCUGGGAAGGACUACCUGAAAUUCAUCACGUCUACAUCCAUAUGUGUGAAAGUGCAUGAGGAGGACAUGGAAUGAUACCACAUAUCUUGCUACAAAUAUGUAUAAACAGUUGCUGUAAGUAUCAGCAAGGGGUGUGUGUGUGUGUGUGUGUGUGUGUGUGUGUGUGCGCGCGCGUAUGUGUGUGUGCAUAUGCGCAUGCUAAAGAACUUGCCAAACAAGGACUCAAGGAGACAACACCUACAACUCACCAGUUGUAGUUACAUAAGUCAGGGUACUUUAUAUUAAGAGAGAAAGCACGGUCGUUCCCCAUGUUACAUCUAGGCACAUGGGAAGAAGCUGGAGAGAGGUGUGGUCAGCCUCUGUUACCUCAUAUAGCCUGUUGCCAUGGUUAAAGGCUGUGGUGUUGGUGUGAGGGAGCUCAGGGGUGGGCUGGGAUCUGGAAGGAACUGCAGGUUUGUUGGGCUGUAUGUUGGGAGAAUAUAUACAGAUCCCUCUGCUGAAGUCCUGACUAAACCUCAGUGUGCUAUACUGGGAGAUAGGAGUAAGGAGGUGUAUGAAGCCUAAUGUGGUCCUUGAAGUGACCUUUAGCAGGGCCUGAGCUAAAGCAGUAGAAACUGUUACAGUAUCAGCAGGGUGUGUGUGUGUGUGUGUGUGUGUGUGUGUGUGUGUGUGUGUGCUUGUGCGUGUGCGUAUGCACAUGCUAAAUAACUUGCCAAACAAGUACUCAGGGAGACAACACCUACAACUCACCAGAGAAUAAGCCUAGGGAAUGGUCACACCCAGCUUGUACCACAUGAAAAGACUCCAGGCUCCAGACUAGUGCAGGAUGAAGCUCUGCUGUUUUGCCCCAAGCCAUGGACAACUAUCAGCUAUGGCAGCCCAUUGUGUCCAGGGCAGGUAGGAGAUGGUGCAGAGAGAGUCCUACUGUCUGGGCUUCUGAAGGGACUUUGCUUCUUCACAGUAAUAAUCUUGUCUUUUAUGUCCAGGGGUUGUCUCCAGCAUGACCGAAAGCAGGUACUCAACAGGUGUGGGAACUAAAAGGGAGGCUGGGGAAGAGGGGGGAAGGAGGAUAGCCCACGUCCCGCCAGAGUUCCACUGACCUCACUCAAUGGGGGGUGGACAAGGGGCGCAGCCCCUGACAGGGGGCCCCAGAGUGACACCCUGUAGCCCCGGGGUUAUGGUAGUGAGAGCUGAGGGAGAGAGGUUUCCACACAGGUGAGAAUCUGUGCAGCGGGCCUUGAUGAGCAGAGACAGUCUAUGGUUUAAGAGCUUUAUUAUAGAAAGGCAGGGAGAAAGGAUAGAAAGUAAAAGAGAGAGAGACUGGCCAUGGCCAAAAGGAGACAAAGGGGAAAGGGAGAUAGAGAAGAAAGUCUAGAGAGUAAGAGGGAGAGAGACGGAGAGGAAAGGAGAGAGAGUAAGGGGAUUAAGAGCAAGAGUAGUGAGAGAGUGAGGAGGGGUCAAACAGCCCCUUUUAUGGUAUGCUCUUAUCUUAACUGGGGAGGAGUCUAGCCUGAAGGUCAGAAGCUUGGGACAUUGCCUAUAUGACUACUAACCAUGCUUCUCCUGUGGGGGCCGAGGGGACGGUAACUUUGACAGGAGCCAGAGUUCCAGGAGACAUGAGAGAACUCCUUCUGUCCCAUGUAGGUGAAUUAUCACCACCGGGUCCCAGAGUUCAGACCUCAGCUUUACUGGAGACCAGACUGUCUGUAUAUAGUCCAUUGCCC
rnacentral:lncRNA from 1 species